GGAGCUUUCAAGUUACUUUGCUCCAUCCCUGCACCCGGCAGAGGCUUUCAGGCUGCGUGGACUCUCCAAAAUUUAUUCUUGGGAAGACUGACAGCCGGGGUCAAGAAACAGCUGUUGAAGUUAAUGUUUCUUCCUCCCACUUCGUCUGAUGGUUGUGCCCUGCCAAGACAAAGUGAAACCAGAAGGUGUCUUCCCAUCUCUGUUUAAAGAAGUCAUGUACCAAUCUGCAGAGAAAUGCCUGUAUACACGGAGAGUCUUCAAAUUUAUAUCAAGAGGCUUCCAAUGUCAUGCAUCUAAUUACAAUCCAAAUACCUAAAUAUAAAUAUA